AAUGUCGAAGAACUGUUGCAUGCAUCUUCGCCGAAUUAGAUCCAUGCGUGUCAAUCGAAAGAGAAGCCGGAUACAAUAAUCAAAGUUGUCCAAAUAUGAAGAAUGAAAGGAGCUGGAAUCUGAGUUUGUUGUAACAUGGGCAAGAAUUUGAUUUCGAUGCGUGGCCAAGAACCAAACUAUCAAGUUGAUAUCGGGUAUAAAGAAGACUCACUUGAAGUUUCAAACCUGUCUUUUACAUCUUGACAUCACGGAGCAGAG